CUCCCGCUGUGUGCUUGCAGGUGUGCGUGCGACUCUGCAACCGGGACAGGCCUGAUGCCCCGCGAGCUGGUGAUGGCAGAGAGCGAGCAGGAAGAACCUGGGCCCAAGCUGACGCUGAACCGCUGAGCGGAUCACACCUGGGAUUCCCCUGCCUCUCCCGCCUCUACCCGCGAUCCUUCCGGGCGGGGUUUCUGUUACCCGCAGCCACGAGGAGUCCCACUGCGGAACGUACCAGGACCGCCUCUACCGACGUGACAGCACCACCCCACACUGGGAUUCAGGAGGAAGGAAUGGGAGGAUGUGGAUUUGUGACCUCUCUGGGCCUCAGUUUUCCCAUCUGUCAAGUGGGGAGGAUCCCGUGGAGACCCGGCUGGCUGUGGGCGGGGCUGCCCAGUCUGUGAGACGUGGUCAGAGCUGGCGACGCGUGAGCACUUCUCCGAGCUCCCCAGAGGCAGGUGCUGAUGCCACGUCGAUAAGCCGCGUCCCCCUGAUGCGCUCCUGACAUUUCCUGCUUGCCUUUGCCCGCCCAAAUGGGUCAGCAGUCAGACUGAGUCACAGCCGCUCCCCGCGGCCCCAGGGCGCAGGCGGGAUGGGGCUCUGCGGACAAGGCCACCUGCGGACAGGGGGCUCUUUCUCUAUAUUCCUAUUUUUAAACUUUACGAUUUGUUUCUAAUUUAACAUGCUUCCUGUUGCUAUUCUAACAUGAAGGACACACUUGGGGUGCUCAGACUUUAUUAAUCUGGCAUCCAUGUCAACAUGUGUUUAUUUGAACACAGGUGAAGGUCUGCAGGGAAGACACGGUCUUCCUGGGGCAGCUGGGGUGUCCCGAGGCACAUGCUUCGUAGACCAAAUCAAGUGGCGGGAUUAGCAGACAUGUUUAAUUUUGC